AUGCUACUCCCUCCGUUCGGAAUUACUUGUCACAGAAAUGGAUGUAUCUAGAUGUAUUUUAGUUCUAGAUACAUCCAUUUCCGAGACAAGUAAUUCGGAACGGAGGGAGUAUAUG
rnacentral:pre_miRNA from 1 species